AGAGUUUGAUCCUGGCUCAGGAUGAACGCUAGCGGCAGGCUUAACACAUGCAAGUCGAGGGGCAGCAUAAUGGAUAGCAAUAUCUAUGGUGGCGACCGGCGCACGGGUGCGUAACGCGUAUGCAACCUACCUUUUAACAGGGGGAUAACACUGAGAAAUUGGUACUAAUACCCCAUAAUAUCAUAGAAGGCAUCUUUUAUGGUUGAAAAUUCCGAUGGUUAGAGAUGGGCAUGCGUUGUAUUAGCUAGUUGGUGGGGUAACGGCUCACCAAGGCGACGAUACAUAGGGGGACUGAGACGGUUAACCCCCACACUGGUACUGAGACACGGACCAGACUCCUACGGGAGGCAGCA
rnacentral:rRNA from 1 species